rnacentral:rRNA from 1 species
UGUUCGGGUUGUCAUGCCAAUGGCACUGCCCGGUAGCUAAAUGCGGAAGAGAUAAGUGCUGAAAGCAUCUAAGCACGAAACUUGCCCCGAGAUGAGUUCUCCCUGACUCCUUGAGAGUCCUGAAGGAACGUUGAAGACGACGACGUUGAUAGGCCGGGUGUGUAAGCGCAGCGAUGCGUUGAGCUAACCGGUACUAAUGAACCGUGAGGCUUAACCUUACAACGCCGAAGGUGUUU